AGCAGUAGCCGCGGUAAUACGAAGGGUGCAAGCGUUAAUCGGAAUUACUGGGCGUAAAGCGCACGCAGGCGGUUUGUUAAGUCAGAUGUGAAAUCCCCGGGCUCAACCUGGGAAUGGCAGUGGAUACUGGCUCGCUAGAGUGUGUCAGAGGAUGGUGGAAUUCCCGGUGUAGCGGUGAAAUGCGUAGAGAUCGGGAGGAACAUCAGUGGCGAAGGCGGCCAUCUGGGACAACACUGACGCUGAGGCACGAAAGCGUGGGGAGCAAACAGGAUUAGAUACCCCCGUAGUCCCUGUCUCUUAUAC
rnacentral:rRNA from 1 species